AUUGAACGCUGGCGGCAUGCUUUACACAUGCAAGUCGAACGGUAACAGGCCGCAAGGUGCUGACGAGUGGCGAACGGGUGAGUAAUGCAUCGGAACGUGCCCAGUCGUGGGGGGUAACGCAGCGAAAGCUGCGCUAAUACCGCAUACGAUCUAUGGAUGAAAGCGGGGGACCGUAAGGCCUCGCGCGAUUGGAGCGGCCGAUGUCAGAUUAGGUAGUUGGUGGGGUAAAGGCUCACCAAGCCAACGAUCUGUAGCUGGUCUGAGAGGACGACCAGCCACAAUGGGACUGAGACACGGCCCAGACUCCUACGGGAGGCAGCAGUGGGGAAUUUUGGACAAUGGGCGCAAGCCUGAUCAAGCAAUGCCGCGUGCAGGAAGAAGGCCUUCGGGUUGUAAACUGCUUUUGUACGGAACGAAAAGGCUCUGGAUAAUACCUGGGGCUCAUGACGGUACCGUAAGAAUAAGCACCGGCUAACUACGUGCCAGCCACCGCAGUAACAC
rnacentral:rRNA from 1 species